AACCCAUAUUGUGGACAUUUCUACAGGAGCUCCUUGAACAUCUCCCAUGUCUAAAGUAGAGACUCCAAUUCUGUUUGCACGAAGGAAGAUAUUUCAUUCCUAAGCUU